GAAAACAAGUGCCCUAUAUAAGAAACUUUGAGGCAUAGAACAAACCGUAUUUGACAGUAAUGUACGAUAUAUAGUGUAGAUAAUGUUGUAGUAAAUGUAGUGCAGUAUAUUUGUAGCUCUCGUUCAGAUCAGCAAAUGUUUAUACUGUAUCAACCAGGCUUAUGUAUGGAUUUAAACAUUAUAUUGGAUUUAUUAAAAACAUGCGGAUGAAAUUUAUAGCCAGUUUAAAUGGCUCAAAGUACAUAUAUAACGGUUCUUAUGUCCGUAUUGCUGGGGAUAUGUGUGCUGUUGACUAUUGCUGUGUUCUGUCAUAGAUGCUGGAAGAAAUGGAUACCAACUUUAAGAUACAAGAUAAGACAUAAAAUCAGCCCACCACCACCUUUAAAUAUGCCAGGAAACACAGUAAAAUGAUGAUGUUUGAAACUAUAGAUAUAUUUACAGUGAGGAAACUUUUAUCACAAGAUGAAGCAGCCAGAACAAUAGAUAUAUUUACAGUGAGGAAACUUUUAUCACAAGAUGAAGCAGCCAGAACAAUAGAUAUAUUUACAGUGAGGAAACUUUUAUCACAAGAUGAAGCAGCCAGAACAAUAGAUAUAUUUACAGUGAGGAAACUUUUAUCAAAUGAUGAAGCAGCAAGAAGCUCUUGACGCCAUGAUAUAUAUCACUUUACAGGGAACAUGUUUUGUGCUAGAUAUUGAUUUCAUAUUGAAGGAAAGGGAUUUAUAUGAAUCAAAGAUUGUUCAGAAUUCCGAGAUUUAAGAGCCUGGCGAUUUUGGGCUUAUGUUGUACUUAUAUUGUUUUGUGUCGGUUCUAAUCUUAAAGGGAAGACGUAUUUGUUAUGGAUGCUAAAAGACACGUUUUAUAUGUGAAUAACUGUGAUCCAUUUUUGAUAUAUUGAUAUGUUUAUGUAUAUAUAACUUGGUGCUUUUACAUUAUGGAGUAUUAUUUGUCCGUCCACUUCAUUUACUAGUUAAGAUAAAUUUUAGCGAGACGCUGCAUUACUAAAAUAAAUGAGAUUCAAUUUUGUUUAAACAUUUGAACUUCCCCUUUAAUCUCAUAUUUUAUAAAUUAUUGUAUGUCUAUUCCAAAAUAUCAUUCAAGUAACAUACGUUUGCUUCUCUGUUUUACAGGCGAGGCAGGACUUAUUCUGGCUAUGCAAACAAAGAAACAAACUCAGUCAUUAUUCGUCAUAUUGACGUUGUAUUGUUGUACACAUAUCUAGAAUAAAACAUAUAUUACCACACAUCAGUAUGUGCUGAACUUGCUCGUGUAGACAUAUAAAUGUAUAAGUAUUACGCGUAUAGGCCUAAUUAAAGUUCAUUCAAAAUAUCAUGCCGCAAUAUUUAGUUAGUUUUACAAUUAACUUAUUCUGGUCAUUCCUAGCAAACAUAUUGUGUCAGACAUUGACGUUUGCUUUACUAAAAUAAAUCAUUAUUAUAUCAAUAUCUUAUCUUAUAUAUCUAAUUGUCUUAUAAAUGUAUGCAUGUACUCAUUGUAAAGACUAUUGCCAGUCCGGAUUGCGGAUUCCUGGCACAGCAUAACAUUUUACUUAGUAAGCAAAAAUGAACACUGAGGGCAAUCAACUGGUAUCGAAAA